CUGUAGUCAAAAAUGUUAAUAUCGAUCAAAAUUAGUCAAAGAAGCAAAGUGCUCAAAAAAAAAAGAAUUUUACAAUUUCCUGCAUUUGAAAUCCCCCCAAAACGUAAAUUGUGGUUGGCGUGACUUGAACUUGGUGUUCCCCAGUGAAAGGUCAAAGGACAAUUGCAGUGCUUACCAUAUCGAAGCCGACCUCAUAGUGAGUGCCUCUGGUAUAGAGAACGGGAAUCGCUUGGCGACGGGGCAAAAUCUUUCCGGACGACAUGCUCGAUAGCAUUUGGUGGGCGGC